rnacentral:rRNA from 1 species
AUUGAACGCUGGCGGCAUGCUUUACACAUGCAAGUCGAACGGUAACAGGGAGCUUGCUCCGCUGACGAGUGGCGAACGGGUGAGUAAUGCGUCGGAACGUGCCGAGUAGUGGGGGAUAACGCAUCGAAAGGUGUGCUAAUACCGCAUACGUACUGAGGUAGAAAGUGGGGGACCUUCGGGCCUCACGCUAUUCGAGCGGCCGACGUCUGAUUAGCUAGUUGGUGAGGUAAAGGCUCACCAAGGCGACGAUCAGUAGCGGGUCUGAGAGGAUGAUCCGCCACACUGGGACUGAGACACGGCCCAGACUCCUACGGGAGGCAGCAGUGGGGAAUUUUGGACAAUGGGCGCAAGCCUGAUCCAGCCAUGCCGCAUGUCUGAAGAAGGCCUUCGGGUUGUAAAGGACUUUUGUCCGGGAGCAAAUGCCUGGUGUUAAUAGCACUGGGAGCUGAGAGUACCGGAAGAAUAAGCACCGGCUAACUACUUGCCAGCCGCCGCUGUAAAAC